rnacentral:rRNA from 1 species
AUUGAACGCUGGCGGCAGGCCUAACACAUGCAAGUCGAACGAGUGGCGGACGGGUGAGUAAUGUCUGGGAAACUGCCUGAUGGAGGGGGAUGACUACUGGAAAAGGUAGCUAAUACCGCAUACCAUCGGAUGUGCCCAGAUGGGAUUAGCUAGUAGGUGGGGUAAAGGCUAACCUAGGCGACGAUCCCUAGCUGGUCUGAGAGGAUGACCGGCCACACGGGAACUGGGACACGGUCCAGACUCCUACGGAAGGCAGCAGUGGGGAUUAUUGGACAAUGGGGUAAAGCCUGAUGCAGCAAGGCCGGGGGUAUGAAGAAGGCCUUGGGGUUGUAAAGUACUUUCAUCGGGGAGGCGUUACCCGCAGAAGAAGCACCGGCUAACUCCGUGCCAGCAGCCGCGGUAAUC